GUCUACAGCCAUGCCACCCUGAAAAAGCCCGAUAUCUGAUCUCCGAAGCUAAACAGGGUCAGGCCUGGUUAGUACAUGGAUGGGAGAUCACCUAGGAAGACCAGGUGCUGUAGGCA
rfam:Pteropus alecto contig71327, whole genome shotgun sequence.